rnacentral:lncRNA from 1 species
AUGGCAGCACCCGCCCGGCCCCGGUGUGAGCCCCGCGCUGCAGGAGCCUCGUUACGUGGGAGCCUCGUUAGAGCGCAGCCUCCCGGGGCCGCUUUCCCUCCUGCCUUUAAUUGCCCUCGGUGCUGGCAGCUCGCAGGGCGGCUGCUCGGCACGUUGGUUAUCUCAGCAGACCCCGGCGCAUCCCGCGGCGCUCCCGUGCGGCAUUCCUGGCAUUGCCGAGGGGCCGCCGUCCCGAAAGCCCUUUUAAAGUCAACGGGCUGGGAUUUUCGCGUAAUCUGGUUUGAACGGCUAAGCCGGUCAUCCACACCAAACGCCGGGCUGGGAUCCUGCCGGGGGCUCGGCUGCGCCCCCCUCCUGCCUGCUGCCCCCCACCCAGUCCCCGAGGCAGGCAGCGAGCAGGGCAGGGAGCCCAGCCCCAUGCAGUGGCACUUUGGGGACCUCCCUGGGGACGGUGACACUUUGGGGCCCCCCCGGGGCCGGCCGCGUGCUGCAUGCUUCCAGCUUGUUGCUUUGAGUUCUCGGUGGAGAAAACGGCCUCGGAUGGGGACCCCCGGCCCCAGCACCCAGCCCGGACCCCGAGCUCGGGGCCGCAGGCUCGGUGCCGGGAGGGGAGCGGCGCUCGGGGGCUCCCGCAGCGGCCGGGGCAGGCGGACGUGGGGUGGCCAGGACCAGGCCGCCAGCACGUGCGGGGUCCCCGGCAUCCCCCCAGAUCCCCCCGUUUGGUGCCCGUCCCUCUGCCCCGAGCCGGGCCGCGAUGUCAGGUCGCUGCUUUCUGUCCUCCCCCUCCCCGAAAGGCGAUCCUACUGUGCAGAUCCAGUUUGGGCACAUUUUCCCCCUUUACGCCAGGGCCAGGUUCCGGGGCCGAGGUGACACCCGAUCUGUUAUUCACGCUCGGAGCAGCAAACUGGUUUUGUUUGCAGUGGGGACGGGCGUUUUGUUUGUGAGACGGCCGGAGGAAUCAGGAAAAUCUGGUGGUGGCGGCUGGGCCGCGGCGGCUCCCCGGGGCCGACCUCUGUGUUCUCGGCUGCUCCCCACGCCCUCGGGGGGGGCCGUGCGGGGCGAGCUGUGGCCACCCGGCACCUCGGGGAGCCCCCAGCACCCUGCCGGGUGUCCCCAGCCUCCCUCCGCAUCCAGGGGUGCUUAAAGCAGCAGGAACCCGGGGAGAUGUCCCAAAAACACGGCCCAGGGGCUGCGUGCCCCGGGGGUGCUGGUGGGGCCGAGGGGUGCUCUGCGGGUCCCCAGGGACGCUCCGCUGUCCUUUGGGACCCCCAAAGUGCCCCCCCCAGCCCCAGCACGGGGCGUUUAUGUUAAGCUUUGCUCUGCUUUAGCCGUGCGGGUUUCAGCUUUCCUCUCCCUCGGACGUUUUGUGGCCGCCCUGCCCCGGCAGCCCCAGCCAUGCACAUCUGCGUGAGACACAAUCGCGACCUGAUACCGACCCCCCCAAAUCGGUAUCUCGAUUCCUCAGGUUUCCACGGCGAGCACAGGGUUUGCCCCCCUGCCCCGCGCGGACCCCCCCCCCCGCCGACCCGAGGCCCCCCCCCCCCCCCCCCCAGGCUUGGGACGGGGACGCGGCGAUCUCAGGGGAUUUGGGGUUUUCCAGCCCCUUUUUGCUGGCAGGGAGGGAGCCGCCUUGUGAGCACCCCUCCCAAAAAUAAUGCUGGAAAUGCCCUCGGGUGGCUUCACAGCGCCCCGGGGGUGCCGGGGGGGGGGCACUCGUCUUGUGCUGCUUUUAGGAUCCAGCCCAAGUCCCCGCACAGGGAAACCCCCGGGAAGGGGCGGCCGCGGGGUCUCCUUGUGGCCGGGCGGUUUAGAGCUUUAGUGAGUUUUGCAUUUGUACAGUCACUGUUUUUUCUGGUUUUGUUUUUUUUUUUUUUUAAUUAUUUUUAUUCUCACCCUCCCCCCUUUUUUUUUUGGAGAGGGCGCAUAUACCUUCCCUUUUUUUUUUUUUUUUGUCUAUCCGUUUUAAAAAAAAAAAAUCAAUUUCUCUGGGGUUUGAAAAGAAAAAGGAAUGGACACAGCUGCAGACGCAUUUAUCCAGCGGGCAUAUCUUAACUCAGGUAAAAAAUGAAAAAAAAAAAAACACACAAAAGACAAAAAAAAGAAAAAAGAAUAAAAACCACAUUCUACCUCUGAGAGCGGCGGCC